GCAAUUGUUUUUUGGUUUUAGCCUCUUUUGGGAGAAAAUGGAUAGAAGUGUUGUCUAAAAAGUCCUAAUCCAUCUCUAACUCUUAUAAUUAGUCAAAGGCUUUGGAUUGUAACACAUUUUGACCAUAGAAAAACUAACAAAACAAAUUACUGUCUCUAAGCAAUUUUUUGGUGGUUUUAGCCUCUUUUGGGAGUUAAUGGGUAUAACUGUUGUCUAAACACUUCUUAUCCAUCUUUAACACUUAUGAUUAGUCAAAUACAUUGAAUUGUGACAUAUUUUGACCAUAGAAACACUAACAAAGCUAUUGACUACUUCUAAGCAAUUUUUUGUUGGUUUUAGUCUCUUUUGGGAGAAAAUGGAUAGAAGUGUUGUCUAAAAAGUCCUAAUCCAUCUCUAACUCUUAUAAUUAGUCAAAGGCUUUGGAUUGUGACACAUUUUGACCAUAGAAAAACUAACAAAACAAAUUACUGUCUCUAAGCAAUUUUUUGGUGGUUUUAGCCUCUUUUGGGAGUUAAUGGGUAUAACUGUUGUCUAAACACUUCUUAUCCAUCUUUAACACUUAUGAUUAGUCAAAUACAUUGAAUUGUAA
rnacentral:sRNA from 1 species